rnacentral:rRNA from 1 species
UGAAAUGCAUAGAUAUACCCCAGAACACCGAUUGAGUAGGCAGCUUACCAGCUUGGAACUGACGAUGAUGCAUGAAAGCGUGAAGAGCGAACAGGACUAGAUACCUCGGUAGUCCACGCCAUAAACGAUGAUCACUCGCUGUUGGCAAUAUAGAGUCAGCGGCUGAGCGAAAGCAUUAAGUGAUCCACCUGGGGAGUACGUCGGCAACGAUGAAACUCAAAGGAAUCGACGGGGGCCCGCACAAGCGGUGGAACAUGUGGUUUAAUUCAGAUGAUACGCGAGGAACCUUACCUGGGCUUAAAUGUAGCCGGACGAUUCCGGAAACGGGAUUUCUUUAACGGCUGGUUACAAGGUGCUGCAUGUUAGUCGUCAGCUCGUGCCGUGAGGUGUUGGGUUAAGUCCCAUAACGAGCGCAACCCUUAUUCCUAGUUGCCAGCGGGUAGAGCCGGUGACUCUAAGGAGACUGCCACCGUAAGGUGUGAGGAAGGUGGGGAUGACGUCAAGUCAGCAUGGCCCUUACGUCCAGGUCUCCACACGUGUUACAAUCGUCGGUACAGAAGGCAGCAAACUUGAGAGAGGGCGCGAAUCCAUGAAAACCGGUCUCAGUUGGGAUGGGAUUCUGCAACCCGAAUUCAUGAAGUUGGAAUCGCUAGUAAUCGCGCAUCAGCAAGGGCGCGGUGAAUACGUUCCCGGGCCUUGUACACUCCCCCCGUCAAGCCAUGGAAGCCGGGGGUACCUGAAGUCCGUAACCGCAAGGACCGGCCGAGGCAAAACUGGUGACUGGGUCUAAGUCG